CCCGGCCCCGCGGGACCCACGACUGGGGGGAGGAGACACGGGUCUGUGCAGUGGGGCAUGCCGGAAAUUGCGUUUAAAGUUCCUUCUGUGACAAAUGACCUUUGAGAGAGGCAUGUCCAGUGUCAGCACUGAAGUGUGUUCUAUUCUCAGAUUUCAGAAUUUCAAGAGAAACACAGGAAGAGGUUGUUAGCCUUCUAUAGAGAAAAGAUCUUGAGGUUGGAGGAGUCCCUCAGGAGGUCAGUGCUGCAGAAGGAUCAUCUCCACAGGCUGGAGUCCAUGGAAGUUGAUCUUACUCCUUCCCCAGUGAGAAAAGUAAGUACAGUUAUUCACUCCUUUGCUUAUUUGCCAGACGCCAGAAAAGGGGUUUUACGUUUUU
rnacentral:lncRNA from 1 species